CGCGGGUGAGUAGGCCAGUCGCCGGGUGCACGGCGCUCGUCAGUCGCCGCCGGUUCCGGGCAGGAGCACUUUCGCUGUUCCGCUGCGUGACAUGUCCACCGGGCCGUGAGGUUGUGCGCGACAGGAGGAGUUCCCCCCUGGCGACCUUGGCUGCGCCAUGCUCAAGGGAUGGUUCGACGCCUUCCGCACCGAAGGUGGACCGACGCUCUACGCGUAUGCCAACAGGACCGCGGUGACAGAGGACAUGCGGAAUAUUCUCAUAUACGUCUGCUUCUCGACGCUCUUCAUCGCCUUCAUCAUCGUCUUCCCGGGGAUACGCAAAGAGAAAUUAUCAACCUUCAUCAGCGUCACAAUAAGCCUGCUUGUUGGAGCUGUCGUACUAACCUGCAUCUAUGGCAGCGAUUGGCACGUGGCCAGCGCCGUGGUGUCUAGUCCGUACCGUGCUUUCUCGGCUGACCGCAUUUCCGCCCGGGUCGGCGUCCACAUAGGACUCAACAGUGUCAACAUCACUCUUCGCGCUAUGCCAAGGUACAGCAAGAAAGAAGAGAUCAACUUCAAUGAGAGGUUCACGUGGCUUGGACCGACGCAGGUCAAGCAGGACUACCGAGAGGCGCUCGCCAAAGGCCUUCCGUUCCCCAUCUUGACUAUUGGCGAGUACUUGAGCCAGGACCUGGAAGGGUUCUGCUGGGGCCGGCGCUACCGCCUCGCCGGCCACUACGCUUUCAUCCUGCUCUGGACUUCCCUGGCGCUGUGGCUGCUCAUGAACGUGCUGCUGUGCGCCGUGCCCCGGUAUGGCGCCUACGCCAUGCAGCUCACCGGCGCCGUGAUGCUGCUCAGCGGCGCCCUCUACGCGUCGCUGCUGCCGGCACGGCCACUGGUCAUCCCCUUCGAGGGCGGCCUGCUCCGCUUCACCUUCGGCUGGUGCUUUUGGGCAGUGCUCGGAGCAGGGUCAGUCGCGGCAUUCUGUGGGCUCUCGAUCAUGGUGCUUGACAUUUUCUUCCCGAACAAGUUCUCUACAAUUCUCGAAGUUGACUACGACACGCCUUACCGAUACUUCGUGGGCCAGGACUGCGUUACAGACCGCAAAACCAGCACAGUCACUUCCCCAGAUGGCGACAAGGCGAGGAGCGAGAGAGGGCGAGGAGGAAGCGCAGCGUGCACAACCUGGUGGGGCGUUGCCCCCUAGCGAGCGGCUCAGGGAGCGCACCUCACGUGCCCUCUCCAGUGAUGACAUCAGAGCAUGUACCGAGAGCGUGUGUGCAGGUGUUGCGAACAAGCAGGCGAUCGCCGGGAGCGGAGGAGUGAGAGAGGAGAGAGUGAUGUCACAUCUGCUCUGCUAGCCAGAUGAUCAGUCUAUGCCACGGAACUGUUUUCGAUUAAUUAUCCGGUUGAAUAUCGUGCCACCUUCUUGUGUGUGAGGUUAUUACUUACGCCAUUGCUACCGCUUCCUACUUCCUGCUUUCCAGGAAUUUCGCCAAAGUCGUGCUCACAUGGCGGGUCUCUAAAGCCUACGAUUAUGUGCUUUGUGCGAGGUUAACGUUGAGGGCGGUGAACCCGUGGCUGAGGCAGCGUCCUAUCGUUCAACGGGAAUUGUGAAUGGAGCUUACGAAGACAGCGACGACGGAAGCAUCGUUGUCCACGGAAAGCGCGCCGUGUCCCUGCACAACUUU